UUAUGGCUCAGGAUGAACGCUAGCUACAGGCUUAACACAUGCAAGUCGAGGGGCAGCAUGAUCUGUGCUUGCACAGAUGAUGGCGACCGGCGCACGGGUGAGUAACGCGUAUCCAACCUUCCCCUUAGUAGGGCAUAGCCCGGCGAAAGUCGGAUUAAUACCCUAUGUUUUCCAAUGAGGACAUCUGAGCUGGAAUAAAGAUUCAUCGCUAAGGGAUGGGGAUGCGUCCGAUUAGGUUGUUGGCGGGUAACGGCCCACCUGGCCGACGAUCAGUAGGGGUUCUGAGAGGAAGGUCCCCCACAUUGGAACUGAGACACGGUCCAAACUCCUACGGGAGGCAGCAGUGAGGAAUAUUGGUCAAUGGUCGAGAGACUGAACCAGCCAAGUAGCGUGCAGGAUGACGGCCCUAUGGGUUGUAAACUGCUUUUAUGCGGGGAUAAAGUGAGGGACGUGUCCCUUUUUGUAGGUACCGCAUGAAUAAGGACCGGCUAAUUCCGUGCCAGCAGCAGC
rnacentral:rRNA from 1 species